rnacentral:rRNA from 1 species
AGAGACAGCAGCCGCCACGGUAAUACAGAGGGUGCGAGCGUUAAUCGGAUUUACUGGGCGUAAAGCGUGCGUAGGCGGCUUCUUAAGUCGGAUGUGAAAUCCCUGAGCUUAACUUAGGAAUUGCAUUCGAUACUGGGAAGCUAGAGUAUGGGAGAGGAUGGUAGAAUUCCAGGUGUAGCGGUGAAAUGCGUAGAGAUCUGGAGGAAUACCGAUGGCGAAGGCAGCCAUCUGGCCUAAUACUGACGCUGAGGUACGAAAGCAUGGGGAGCAAACAGGAUUAGAUACCCGUGUAGUCCCUGUCUCUUAUAC